rnacentral:rRNA from 1 species
UUGAGUGAGUGGCGAACUGGUGAGUAACACGUGGGAAACCUGCCCAGAAGCGGGGGAUAACACCUGGAAACAGAUGCUAAUACCGCAUAACAACUUGGACCGCAUGGUCCGAGUUUGAAAGAUGGCUUCGGCUAUCACUUUUGGAUGGUCCCGCGGCGUAUUAGCUAGAUGGUGGGGUAACGGCUCACCAUGGCAAUGAUACGUAGCCGACCUGAGAGGGUAAUCGGCCACAUUGGGACUGAGACACGGCCCAAACUCCUACGGGAGGCAGCAGUAGGGAAUCUUCCACAAUGGACGAAAGUCUGAUGGAGCAACGCCGCGUGAGUGAAGAAGGGUUUCGGCUCGUAAAACUCUGUUGUUAAAGAAGAACAUAUCUGAGAGUAACUGUUCAGGUAUUGACGGUAUUUAACCAGAAAGCCACGGCUAACUACGUGCCAGCAGCCGCGGUAAUACGUAGGUGGCAAGCGUUGUCCGGAUUUAUUGGGCGUAAAGCGAGCGCAGGCGGUUUUUUAAGUCUGAUGUGAAAGCCUUCGGCUCAACCGAAGAAGUGCAUCGGAAACUGGGAAACUUGAGUGCAGAAGAGGACAGUGGAACUCCAUGUGUAGCGGUGAAAUGCGUAGAUAUAUGGAAGAACACCAGUGGCGAAGGCGGCUGUCUGGUCUGUAACUGACGCUGAGGCUCGAAAGUAUGGGUAGCAAACAGGAUUAGAUACCCUGGUAGUCCAUACCGUAAACGAUGAAUGCUAAGUGUUGGAGGGUUUCCGCCCUUCAGUGCUGCAGCUAACGCAUUAAGCAUUCCGCCUGGGGAGUACGGCCGCAAGGCUGAAACUCAAAGGAAUUGACGGGGGCCCGCACAAGCGGUGGAGCAUGUGGUUUAAUUCGAAGCUACGCGAAGAACCUUACCAGGUCUUGACAUACUAUGCAAAUCUAAGAGAUUAGACGUUCCCUUCGGGG